rnacentral:rRNA from 1 species
GUAGGUGGCAAGCGUUGUCCGGAAUUAUUGGGCGUAAAGCGCGCGCAGGUGGUUCUUUAAGUCUGAUGUGUAAAGACCCCCGGGCUCAACCCGGGGAGGGUCAUUGGAAACUGGGGAACUUGAGUGCAGGAGAGGAAAGUGGAAUUCCACGUGUAGCGGUGAAAUGCGUAGAUAUGUGGAGGAACACCAGUGGCGAAGGCGACUUUCUGGCCUGUAACUGACACUGAGGCGCGAAAGCGUGGGGAGCAAACAGGAUUAGAUACCCUGGUAGUCCACGCCGUAAACGAUGAGUGCUAAGUGUUGGGGGGGUUUCCGCCCCUCAGUGCUGCAGCUAACGCAUUAAGCACUCCGCCUGGGGAGUACGGUCGCAAAGACUG